rnacentral:rRNA from 1 species
AAGGUAGCAUAAUCAAUAGUCUUUUAAUUGAAGGCUUGGAUGAAAGGUUUGACGGAGGGAGAGCUGUCUCCUUAGUUUAUACUGAAUUUAACAUUUGUGUGAAAAGGCAUAAAUAAUUUAAAGGGACGAUAAGACCCUAUAAAACUUUACAUAUUGAAAUUACUUAAUAAAAUUGAUAAAUAAUUAUUAGGCUAUUAAUUUUGUUUUGCUGGGGCGGCACGAAUAUAAAUUUUUAACUGUUUUUAAUAUAGAAUACAUAUCAGUAUAAUUUGGUCCUUUAUUAAGGAGAUAAGAGUAAGUUA